rnacentral:lncRNA from 1 species
UUAUUGACUUUCCUUGAUUUUCUUAAAUCAUGUUCAUGUCAACAACUCAAGUGGAAGUGUUUGAAGGUGAAAAAAGGUAAAAGUUUUCCACCAACUGCGUUCCCUUUAAUUUGGCGUGGGCUCGAUUACAUAAGAGGCACUUGUUCAGAACCUUUGAAAGUGGAAUACAUUGAAAGUGAAUGAAGUGCUUGUUAGUAAUUAUAAAGGCUAGCUGGUAAUUAGACAGUUCAUGAAUAUAUAAUUCUAUAUAUCCUUUGUCUCUAUGUAAUAGUAUCCUUGUUAGAAUAUAAGAUCACACACACGCACACAAACGAUAGAGAAUUAAGAAUAACACAAGAGAUUUACGUGGUCCCCAAUUUGGGUACUCCAUGGGCAGCUUGUUGUUUAUUGAUGAUUCCUUAGUUACAUAGGAUUUUACAAUGGAUAGUAUUUAUACCUACUAAUCCUAUUUCAACCUUACUUCACAUUACAUAGGAUUUUACAAUGGAUAGUAUUUAUACCUACUAAUCCUAUUUCAACCUUACUUCACAUUAUGUCUCAAUUACUCAUAAUGUCCCUCUAAUAAACAACUCAGAAAAAAUCAAUUUUUUGGGUUAUCAG